rnacentral:rRNA from 1 species
GGAAAAAAUUCCCAUUAGAUGGGAGAUGAUGGUACUUCUGGAGUAAGCCCCGGCUAACUACGUGCCAGCAGCCGCGGUAAUACGUAGGGGGCAAGCGUUGUCCGGAUUUACUGGGUGGAAUGGGUGCUCAGGCGGAUUUGUAAGUCAGAGGUGAAAGCUUACAGCUUAACUGUGAAACUGCCUUUGAUACUGCAAGCCUAGAGUAUGGAAGAGAGCGAUGGAAUAUCAGGUGUAGCAGUGAAAUGCGUAGAUAUCAGAUAGAACACCAAUGGCGAAGGCAGUCACUUGGUCCAUUACCGACGCUAAAGCACGAAAGCGUGGG